GAUAGUAUGGCUGAUAAUAGGCGAUAAAUUGUAAAUUUAUUUAUAAAAAUAUUUAUUUUUUGCUAUUA
rnacentral:tRNA from 1 species